rnacentral:rRNA from 1 species
CUCAGAACGAACGCUGGCGGCGUGGAUAAGACAUGCAAGUCGAGCGAUCAUAACGGGGUAGCAAUAUUCCGUUGUGGGAGCGGCGCAAGGGUGCGUAACACGUGGGCAAUCUGCCGUGAAGUUUGGGAUAAUCCCGCGAAAGCGGGACUAAUACCGGAUGUGGCCAUUGGGAGGCAUCUUCUGAUGGCUGAAGUUGGGGACCGCAAGGCCUGACGCUUCACGAUGAGCCCGCGGCCUAUCAGCUAGUUGGUGAGGUAACGGCUCACCAAGGCUAAGACGGGUAGCUGGUCUGAGAGGACGACCAGCCACACUGGAACUGAGACACGGUCCAGACACCUACGGGUGGCAGCAGUCGAGAAUUUUUCACAAUGGGCGCAAGCCUGAUGGAGCGACGCCGCGUGGGGGAUGAAUGGCUUCGGCCCGUAAACCCCUGUCAUUUGCGAUCAACCCUCAUUAUUUAAAAGAUGAUGAGCUGAUGGUAGCGAAAGAGGAAGGGACGGCUAACUCUGUGCCAGCAGCCGCGGUAAUACAGAGGUCCCGAGCGUUGUUCGGAUUCACUGGGCGUAAAGGGUGCGUAGGUGGUGGGGUAAGUCGGAUGUGAAAGCUCGGAGCUCAACUCCGAAAUGGCAUUGGAAACUGCCCUGCUAGAGGGUCGGAGGGGGGACUGGAAUUCUCGGUGUAGCAGUGAAAUGCGUAGAUAUCGAGAGGAACACCAGUGGCGAAGGCGAGUCCCUGGACGACACCUGACACUGAGGCACGAAAGCUAGGGGAGCAAACAGGAUUAGAUACCCUGGUAGUCCUAGCCGUAAACGGUGCACGUUUGCUGUAAGAGGAAUCGACCCCUUUUGUGGCGUAGCCAACGCGUUAAACGUGCCGCCUGGGAAGUACGG